rnacentral:lncRNA from 1 species
GAGAUGAUGAGACUGCCCAAUGGAAGGAACCUUUCCAAACACUCAUCGAACUUCAUGUGAGAAAGAAACUUCUCUGUGCAAAGCAUAUUUCACACAUCUGCUACCCGUCUACCGUGGGUGGGCGAGGAGGUCUGCUCAUCACGGUUACCCAGAGACCCGGGCUGAUGAACGUUCCAUCUGGACACAACGCUUCCAGAAUUGCCGAGCCAAGGAAUAGAAAAAUAUGUCGGACCGCAUGCUGGCGUUUAAACAGUUAUUGUUUUUUAUGAUUUGAAAGAAUGACAGACUCACAGGAAGUCGCAGAAACAGUACUGAAUUUUUAAUUGUCCACUUAGAAAACAAGCAUCUCUUCCAAAGAAAAGAAGUGCUUCAGAGGCGCCUGGGUGGCUCCGUGGGUCAAGCCUCUGCCUUCGGCUCAGGUCAUGAUCCCAGGGUCCUGCUCUCUGGGAUUGAGCACCGCAUCAGGCUCUCUGUUCCUCAGAGAGCCUGCUUCCUCCUCUCUCUCUGUCUGCCUCUACUUGUCAUCUCUGUCUGUCAAAUAAAUGAAAAGAAGUGCUUCUGAGACCCUGAACUCAGAACUUU